rnacentral:rRNA from 1 species
GACGAACGCUGGCGGCGUGCUUAAUACAUGCAAGUCAACUUGACUUUAGAUAGCAAUAUCGAAAAGUAGGGUGGCGCACGGGUGCGUAACGCGUAGGUAAUCUGCCCUGAGGUCUGACAUAACCCGUCGAAAGGCGGGCUAACAUCAGAUGAUAUAUAAUCACGACAUCGUGGAAAUAUCAAAUCUUCGGAGCCUUGGGAUGAGCCUGCGUCUGAUUAGGUAGUUGGCGGAGUAAUAGCCCACCAAGCCUACGAUCAGUAGCUGGUCUGAGAGGAUGAUCAGCCACACUGGAACUGAGACACGGUCCAGACUCCUACGGGAGGCAGCAGUAAGGAAUAUUGCUCAAUGGGGGAAACCCUGAAGCAGCAACGCCGCGUGAAGGAUGAAAUACUUUUGUAUGUAAACUUCUGUAAGAUGGGAAAAAUAUUCUCCUCGGGAGAAUUGAUUGUACCAUCAGAGUAAGCCCCGGCUAACUACGUGCCAGCAGCCG